rnacentral:tRNA from 1 species
GGAGAGGUGGUCGAGUGGUUUAUGGCUGCAGUCUUGAAAACUGCCUUAGCGCAAGCUAACGUGGGUUCGAAUCCCACCCUCUCCG